UCAUUUUGUCUUUAAAGAUUCACUGUGGUAUAGUUCUGCCUGUCAAAAUGGAUUCGAAAAAGAUGAAGACCUUUAUUAACGCCGAAGAAGAUCAUUUGGUAUCAAAAUCAAGUAAAACUACAAUAGUAUCGGU